CGGGGCUACUGCUCUGUAAUUGGCAUGGGGGCGACCUUCACCCUCGCCCGAGUACCCAUUGGAGGGCAAGUCUGGUGCCAGCAGCCGCGGUAAUUCCAGCUCCAAUAGCGUAUAUUAAACUUGUUGCAGUUAAAAAGCUCGUAGUUGAAUCUCACGUCCCGCCCCAGUGUUUUUCCACUUGGCGGGACGCCUCGUUACUUUGAGAAAAUUAGAGUGUUUCAAGCAGGUUUCGCCUGUAUAAUUGAGCAUGGAAUAACCUUGUAUGACCCUGUCGUACCGUUGGUUGACUUUGGGUAAUGGUUAAUAGGAACGGUUGGGGGCAUUCGUACUCGACUGUCAGAGGUGAAAUUCUUAGAUUUGUCGAUGACGCACGACUGCGAAAGCAUUUGCCAAGGACGCUUCCAUUAAUCAAGAAC
rnacentral:rRNA from 1 species